GGGCCUAUGGUCUAGCGGUUAUGACGUCUGCCUUACACGCAGAAGGUCGAGAGUUCGAAUCUCUCUGGGCCCA
rnacentral:tRNA from 1 species